GUUGUUUUCUAAUUCAACGCCUUUCUUCUUCUUCUUCUUCUUCGAAACCCUAAUUAUUGAUCGCAACGCCAACGGACCCAAUCUGAAGACUGCGCUACCUCAGUCGACAGUUUCUCAAAUUUUUGUUGUUGAAGCAUGUCCAGUAGCACCCACCAGAGGCAGAGGCAGAGGCGAUUCUGUUACUUUUAUAUCACCGCGUCACAGUGCGAGCCAAUUGAACAACCUUACUUGGGCAAUGCUCUGAUCAAAAAUCUAUUCUUCAAGCUAACUCGUCCCUUUCGUCCUUGGAUUGACCCACGCGGUGCCAACAUGAUUCCCAUCCAUAUAAUGCUCUUCAACCAACCCGGAACCCGUCUCUCCAUUUAUUCUCCAAUCGUGUAUGGUGAACCAAAACUCGUGACUGAAAGACGGUUUAUGCUCCCUCUCUCAGAUGUCAUAACUGAAAUUGGUGUGUAUAAGGACAUCAUUGAGGGGUAUCUUUCCACCAUGGGAGUCCGACGAAAUAUGCACCCAAAUGCUAUUGGAAAAAUACAUGACGUGAUUCAAGUGGCCAACCCCGGGUUUCCUAUUGAUGUGACAAUAUAUGACGUGACUGUUGAUGUAUUGGGCAAGUCUGAAGUUGUUCCGCCGACUAUAUCAGUGUUUCACAUUGUGGAACAAGUUGGACUUGAUAGUUUGGAAGCUACUAUCAGACAGAAGCCAUGUGCUAUUUGUCGUGAGAGCCUUGAUCACGUUUAUGACGCAGAAGAAGGGAUUAUUCGCUUGCCCUGCUUGCACCUUUUUCAUGCAGAUUGCCUUAUCCAGUGUUUGAAUGAUCAUGUGCAUGUGUGCCCCCUCUGCAAUUACCCACUGCCUACUGUGGAACUUGGUGAACCAUCCAAACCCUCGGGGCAACUGGAUUGGCGUGUGUUGCUCGUGAUGUCGGCAUGUGGUAUAAUUAAUAACUGUUAAGCUUCUUUGCAGACUAUUAAAGCGACCCUAAGAACAAAAAUGAUGGACUCAUGAUUAAGGUUUCUCAUUCAUGCCGAAUUGCCUUGUUUCCUAAGGGGAAGUGCAAAUGAGAUUUUGAUAAAUAUUAUUGAUUACAAUGGUCAAUCUGGCCUAUGGGUACCUCUUUUUGUUUCCACUGGUUGCUAUCUUCUUUAUAUUUUCCUGUUUACUUGUCAGCCUGGCGGGUGAUGGCGUCUUAACCAAAGGGUCCUUAGUUUUGCUGCCGAGAGCUACCUUCUUUAUUCAGUCCUUGCUUGUUGGUUUGGCUGGUAAUAGUAUAACUUUAUAAUUUGCAAGGGAAAACAAUGUGAUGCUCUUAACCCCGGUUAUUUCUCCCUUCUUUUCUUAGGUUAUUUCUCCCUUCUUUUCUUCUCUAGUUUGGAGUCCUGGUUUUUAUUGUUACUUUAGAUCGGGAGUCCAAAUUAGAGAACAAAGAAAUGAUGUAUAGACAUGGAAAAACCCAGAGUAUUUUACUUUGGAUUUCCAACCAGAUAGCUUUCCCUUGCAAAUCUACUACAUGUCAGAUAUAUAUGUGCAAAAUGAUGUUUCUUUGGAUGUCUGAAGGCACAUAAUAGGCCAAUGGAUAGUCAUUGAAACUGGUUUUUUCAAUAUGUGGGGUUAAAAAUAGGUAACAGAAAACCAGCCAACGUAGAUUAGUCAAUAUUUUCCAACUGGAUCAUGUGUUGGGAAUGAACUAUGUUAACAUGCUGGUCUCUCCUCCAUCAAUGUACCUUCUGCAUGUUUCUGUUUCUCUGGUAUCACAAUUAGAAGUCCCAAUUAUAAUUUUUAGUAUGUUUCAAAAAAAAAAAAAAUUUCUUAGAUAUGAAAACAUUUUUGUCUUUCAGUUUAGGUGGAUUAGAGCUUUGUCUAAAUGUUUUGGUGUGCAGAAAAAUGCAAAUAAUGCCAGUCCAACUGAACUUUUCCCUCCCAAAGAUGCUUUGCAUUAGACUGCUGGUUGCUCUUGUCCAUCCCUUCAUGUCUUAUGCAUACCAUGUUUUCAUGUAAUCUCACAACAAAUGGCUUGUGUUAUGAGGGAUUUAAAAAUGCAUUAUAAUUUCGUCAUAUCAGCCUUGCAAGAUUAUUCACUUUAAUUUUUCACAUUUCUUAAAUUAGGUGGCUGCUAAGUCAAUUUUCAUUCAACUCUUGUAGUUAUUCAAAGGAAAGCUCAUUUGUAAUAUUGAUUUUUCUUUUUGAAAUUUGAACAGGCAGAUUAUUUAAUUUCUUGGCUGUAUUGCCUUUUGUUAACAGACUUGUACCUAGCUGUCUUGUAGGUUGGGUUUAUUAGUUGGGCCAUUGAGUUUACGAUUUGAAUAUCUGAAUUUCUUUUUUAAAUUUGAGAUUUUGAGCAGCUCAUUUGAUUUCUUGCCUGUAUUGCCUAUUGUUUAGGGACUUGUAUAUUAUAUUGUAGGUUGGGAUUAUUAGUUGUUCCAUUGGGUUUUAUGAUUUGUUUGCUUUUAGAACCAGUAGCUGUAUUCAUUAGAAUAUGCCUUGUUUUUUGUGGGAAAGUAAUGUUUAAGUUUAUGGAGAAUUUUCUUGUUGAAGUUUAAGGACAUUGCUCAUUCGUUUUGUUUUUGUUUUUGGUCUAUAAGUACUUUCUAUGCUGGAUAUGCAGACAUCAUUGAAGCUUGGUAUGAAUAUGAUGAAGGAAGUUGGCAUGGCAUAAUCAGCCAAUCAGGUCCAGAAACUACGUGUGAAUUUCUUGUAUUUUAGAGCUCUAGAGCUCACGCUAUUUCAUCAUGCUUCCCCUUUGAUCAUCUUAGACCUCUGAAUUGGGAUUCUUAGGUGUGAAUAGCAAGUAUUGCUGUAUUGGAUUGUACAGCUGUACUUUCUUGGAAGAUCUGUUAUCUGGUGUGAGUACGGAAUUACGGGACUGUCAAGUGAUUCUUCAUUGGAGUAAUAAUUAUGUUGCAGUAAUAGCUGUCAAGAGAUAUCUACAUGUUCUUGAAGAUUGAACACGGUUGUCUAAGAAAACAAAUAGAAAGAAGGAUAUUGUCAACUGGGUUUCAAUUGAGGAGUCAUUUUUGAACUACUUUGAUACUAUCUUGAAAAACAAAGUAUUGAAUUAUUUCUCCGUCUCUUGUUAUUUCGUGAAGAAGUACUAAAUUUGUUGGAAGAUUACCUUCAAUUCUUGAAGGGGUAUGUCUGAUAUCAGCUAGUUAAUCAUACAAUCGAGUCUUGUAUUCUUACUAAGCUACAAGUGCAGAGUUGUCAGCAGCAGUUGAAAAUGUUCUUGUUGGCUACUACUCAAGCUCAGCUGAAAGCUUUACUCAAUUACUAUCAAGCUUGAUGAUGGAAAUUCGAUACAGUGGAGUUCUCCAGCUCAGUCAAUGAGCCAAUUCCUUUGGUAAGUGGAGUUCUCUGAGUUGGAUUAGGAGUUUGGUGAGAAGUGGGGACCGGGGAGAUGGUUUGAAAUUUGAUGAGGAUUGAGGAAUUGGUUUCAGGUUGGGACAGGAUGAGGAGAGGAAAGUGAGUGAGCAUAUUUUUCAUUGGAAAAAAGUACGGGUCCAAGAAUGAGUUGUACGAAUUCCUCCUAUCUUUACCUGUAUUGAAUUGUUUUUUUGAAAGAAGGCAAAGCCAAUAUAUUGAUCAAAAGCCAGAAUGACCCUUACAUACCCUUCCGCUGCCAUCUAAGACAGACAAGAAGAUGUGUUAGUACCCACAGUGGUACAUAGAAAUUAGGUCACUCAUUUGACAUUGAAUACAUCGUAGACAUAGCGGGAUCCCCUUUUGGUACUACGCCGGAGGCGCUAGAAAGACUCGGCCCUCUCAACCUAACUCGGAAAACAGUAAAUCUAGUCGCCUAGAGACCUCAAUUGGUGUACAACUAGAGACACUGAGAAUUAAGUUGACAAGACCAAGAUCCAAUACUAAAACUAGAUGCACAAAAGUGCCUAGACUGUCUCUGAAAACGGAACAAUUAUUGUAAAAUAGACAAAACUAAAUAACAUAGUGAUGGGCCAAAGCCAAAACCCUAGCCCAACUCAAGGCCCAGCAGUACUGGAUUGAUUCAAGCCCAAACAUCAUCUCUCUCUCACAACAGGAGAUAUCACUGCCGCUCAACCUCGCCGCCACCGUACUGCCACAUCCCUUGCUGCCUCAGCCUCCGCUACUCGUACCGCCAUGCUGCCAUGGAACUACGCCACCUCGACCCUGGAAACCCGGUCUGCACCACUACGAAACUGACGACGAUGAAGCGCACCAGAUCAUAGGCUCCAUAAUCCAAACGUCUCACGUCGGGCCUGGAAACCCACGACGAAGCACCUGCCACCGUGAAUCAGAGACGACACCAGAGACCUGUGCCAAAACCAACAUACCGAAGCCUCAAGCAGAAAACCUUUCCCCCAUGAAAACCCUGGGCAGUAGCAUCAAUAUCCCAUCCGGCAGCAGACCGCAGUACGUCGGCGAGGCCAGAGACCAGCCAAGACGUCCGGGUGCCACCGGACAAGAUUGAUCUUCACAGACGAGGACGGUGCCGGCCUUAGAAGUUUUCUCGCUAGAGAGAAAACCUAGGUUUUUAAUAUAUUUGUAAACAGAGAGUUACCUGUAUUGAAUUGUUUUUGUAACG